AUUUAAGAUAGCCAUGCACGCCUUAGUACUUACUCUAGUAAAGUGAAACCGCGAAAGGCUCAUUAAAUCAGUUAUGGUUCCUUAGAGCCAGUAUUGACAAGGAUAACUCUGGCAAACUGGAGCUAAUACAUGCAUUAUACAGAGGCCUAGUCUCUGUGCUCUUAUUAGAUCAAAACCAGUAUUGGUUGAUGACUCCAGAUAAUAUUGCCAACCACUGCUAGCUUUGCUAGGUGGUGUAUCUUUCAAAUGUCUGCCCUAUCAAUUGCUGAUGGUAGUUAACCUGCCUACCAUGAUAGUAACGGGUAACGGAGAAUCAGGGUUUGACUCCGGAGAGGGAGCCUGAGAAAUGGCUGCCACAUCUAAGGAAGGCAGCAGGCGCGCAAAUUACCCACUCCCUGAGAGGGGAGGUAGUGACGAGAAAUUACAAUGCUGAGCACAAUGUUGUUUAGUAAUUGUCUUGAGUGUGAUUUAAAAUGCUACUCAAGGAUCUAUUGGAGGGCAAGUCUGGUCC
rnacentral:rRNA from 1 species